rnacentral:rRNA from 1 species
AGAGUUUGAUCAUGGCUCAGAUUGAACGCUGGCGGUAGGCUUAACACAUGCAAGUCGAGCGGAAACGAAGAAAAGCUUGCUUUUCAGGCGUCGAGCGGCGGACGGGUGAGUAACGCGUAGGAAUCUGCCUAGUAGUGGGGGACAACCUGUGGAAACGCAGGCUAAUACCGCAUAAUCCCUGAGGGGGAAAGGAGGGGAUCUUCGGACCUUUCGCUAUUAGAUGAGCCUGCGUGAGAUUAGCUAGUUGGUGAGGUAAAGGCUCACCAAGGCGACGAUCUCUAGCUGGUCUGAGAGGAUGAUCAGCCACACUGGGACUGAGACACGGCCCAGACUCCUACGGGAGGCAGCAGUGGGGAAUAUUGGACAAUGGGCGCAAGCCUGAUCCAGCCAUACCGCGUGUGUGAAGAAGGCCUUAGGGUUGUAAAGCACUUUCAGAAGGGAGGAAAGGUUGAUGUUUAAUACGCAUUAGCNGNG